AGUGGCGGGGUUCUCGCCGGUCCUGCGGGUCGCUGCUUGGCUGUGGGUUAGCAGCACCCUGAGCGGAGCGGAAGAGCUGCCCGCCGCCGCGUAACCCCGAGGCCGAGACUCCUGGCCUGGCCUCCUUGGGCCCACGACGCCUGCCCCGCGGAGCGGACCCAUGGGCCUGAGGUUUGUGUGCGGGGCCUCAGGCGAGCGCUGGCGCAGCCUGUCCCCCAUCGUCUGCGCCCUGCGGGCCUGGCCCUCCCCGUGGAAGGACCGCGGGCUUCGGGGCCCCACGCUGGGGGGCUGACUCCUGCCACACACACAGCGGUGGCCGCGGGCCUGGGGCGGCAGCACAGCCAUUCUGCUCGGGCUGCGUGAGCUGACCCCGCUCUCUGUGCACCUACUUUUGCUGCGUUUGGUGCUGAGCCUGAAGUCCCAGGACAGGCGGCUGAGGGGGAAAGAUGGUGUGAAUUGGGUGGGCAGAGACAACUGAAAGCCACAGGACCCGGUUGGCACCUUUUUGGCCGCCUGCGCCUUUGCCUGCAGCCCCGCUCCCUGGGUCACCCGAAGGAGGAGCUGGCGCUCUUUCCGGGCGCAGAAGCACCCGACCCACGCUGGAGGAAACGGUCCCUCUGGGCAGGAGAAGCUUUGGGCCUGGCUGGAGCACACUCACGGAACCACGCCAACGCCUGGCCUGUAGCCAGCUCCCACCUCCCCUCCCACCUUCUAAAAUGCUUGCGGAUCUCACGUGGCCGACCCUAACCAGAUACACAUGGGGAAAGGAAUCAGGUGGCACACAUACCGCCUUUACUCCAUAGAGAACUUCCAAUUGUGGGUAAGAACAAAGCCCCACCUCUUCCUAAUAGAUGCAGUUUUCCACCUGCAGCCAAAAAGACAACCUGUUAUUAGCUUUUUUCCCAGAGGACAGGCAUCUCUAUGAAACUGCCAUUGCAAAAUUUGCCGACAGUGAGAUAACCAGCUCCAUUUUGCUUCUAACCUCCAUGCCCUCCUUGUUUACUGCUGCACGCAGGUUGAACUGUGGGAGGAACUUAGUUUAAAACAAAGAUGAUAACAGCCCUUUCCCAAAGGAAACCUUUCCUGGGGAUUAGCCUGCUUUUGUGGGACCAACAGAUUAGCCACAAGAUUAGAAACUACGGUUGAAGAGUCACGCAGCGGGAGGCUACAGGAUUCUGACCCUCCCCAAACUGCUCCUGGCGAUAACAUCACCAUCGUAAAGCCUAAGAUCAGCACUUGGUGGGUCACCUGGCACCACCCAGGCUCAUCUGAUGUUGUGGCACCCAGGAACUGACUCAGUGCGAAAACAGCUUCGACUCCCUGUGAUUUCAUCUCUGACCUGACCAAUGGGUACUUCUGACUCACUGGCUGCCCCCCACCCACCAGCUUAUCUUUAAAAACUCCAAACCCCAGAUGCUCAGGGAGACCGAGUAAUAAUAAAACUCCAGUCUCCCACACAGCUAGCUCUGCGUGAAUUACCUUUUCUCUGUUGCAAAUGCCCUUUCUUGAUAAAUUGGCUGUCUAGGUAACAGGGAAGGUGAACCCACUGGGCAGUUACACUUUUAUCCACCCUUCCAGCUGGAUCACGCGCCCUCUUCAAUGACAUGACACGCAGCUAGAGUGUAUGAGCUUGCUGCCGGCACCUUCCGUCCUGGAUCGCAUAGCAAGGCCUCAAUGGACAGCCAGGUCGGCACAGACGCAACCCAGUCUCCUCCCACCUCCGAGAGUGCAGUGUCCUGAAUGGAGAACCCCAGCACCCAGAAGCAUCCACUGAAGGACGUAAGUAGGACAAGGCCAACUGUGGCUGUUCCAGCAGAGGGACUGUGGGUGAUGUUUCCCUUCUCUGAUUUCUAAAAUAUCUGCAAACUUGUUUCAUUUAUAAUUGAAAAUAUAAUUUGCAUAACAACAGUAAAUUCUACACAUGAAGGCAAACGUCCGUGGUUGACAGAAAUUACACUGGCCAGAAUCCCCAGUCCCCAUGAGGCUUGUCCAGACGCAGUGAACCAGUCGCAGCUGAUAACACACAGACCAUUCCCGAUCCCAGAGGUGCAUUUCAGGAUUCAUUCUAUUUCAUCAGGUGACGUUUUAACAGAAACAAAACCGCAGGCAGCGGGUGGGGGGAGCUGGAGGUUGGAAUCACACCAACAUUAUAGCAUUAUUACUCUAAAAAAAAUUACUUUUUUGGCUGGGUGCUGUGGCUCACACCUAUAAUUGGGGGGCCAAGGCAGGUGGAUUACCUGAGGUCGGGAAUUCGAGACCAGCCUGACCAACAUGGAGAAACCCCGUCUCUACUAAAAAUACAAAAUUAGCUGGGCGUGGUGGCACAUGUCUGUAAUCCCAGCUACUCGGGAGGCUGAGGCAGGAGAAUCGCUUGAACCCAGGAGGUGGAGGUUGUGCCAUUGCACUCCAGCCUGGGCAACAAGAGCAAAACUCCGUCUCAAAAAAAAAAAUUUUUUUUUAAGCGACACAGUCUUGCACUGUGGCCGAGGCUGGAGUGCAGUGGCUCAAUCACGGCUCACUGUAACCUUGGACUCAGCUCAAGCAGUCCUCCUGCUUCAGCCUCCCGAGUAGUUGGGACUACAGGUGCGUGCCACCACACUUGGCUAAUUUUUAUGUUUUUUUGGUAGAGACGGGGUCUUCCUGUGUUGCCCAGGCUGGUCUCGAACUCCUGGGCUGAAGCAAUCUUCCUGCCUUGGCCUCCCAGAGGGUUGGAAUUGCAGAUGUGAGGUAAUGUCCAGUUCCUUGCCUUAUUUAUAAAAUGUAAUUUAUUUUUUGAACUUUUUCCUCUUCAGAGCCUUCCAUUCGCCUUCCUGUGUAGCCAGGCUGUUAAAAAGCUGCUUUACUUUCCGCUUUCUUUCCGCAUCCCUAAAAGAAACAAAAGGCAAAUGCCCAUUUUUGGAUUAGUUCUUGGAGAGCAUCUUGCCCUCUCUCUCCCACAUCAGAACCACAUUAGCCACCGUGGCCACGUUCAGUUCAAACAGGGGGAAGUGAACCU
rnacentral:lncRNA from 10 species